AAGGAACCUGACUUUGCGGUCCACUGAGCCAAUGGCAAGCAAGUUCCCACCACUGUAGUGGAUUACCCUGUGUGGAUCUGACCUGGUGAAACUAAUUCUGGAGGAAGGCACGCAUAAGAGGGGCAGAAUCGAACCCUGAAAUUUGGGCACAAAUCAUGAGCUUACAGGGGUGUUGCAAAAGAUGGAGUUGUCUUGGCUCACUCAGCUGAAGUCUUAUUAGACAAAGGCAGAAGGAGAAAGACAAUGACACAAUAGAGAGCGGGUGAC